UACGGGGGGGGCAAGCGUUGUUCGGAAUUACUGGGCGUAAAGGGCGCGUAGGCGGCCUUCUAAGUCAGACGUGAAAUCCCCAGGCUUAACUUGGGAACUGCGUCUGAUACUGGAUGGCUUGAGUUUGGGAGAGGGAUGCGGAAUUCCAGGUGUAGCGGUGAAAUGCGUAGAUAUCUGGAGGAACACCGGUGGCGAAGGCGGCAUCCUGGACCAACACUGACGCUGAGUGAGCGAAAGCCAGGGGAGCAAACGGG
rnacentral:rRNA from 1 species